rnacentral:rRNA from 1 species
GUGGGGAAUCUUGCGCAAUGGACGAAAGUCUGACGCAGCGACGCCGCGUGGGGGAUGACGGGUUUCGGCUUGUAAACCCCUGUUGCCCGGGACGAAACGCUUCUUUCGAGGAGCUUGACGGUACCGGGUGAGGAAGCACCGGCUAACUCCGUGCCAGCAGCCGCGGUAAUACGGAGGGUGCGAGCGUUGUCCGGAAUCACUGGGCGUAAAGGGCGCGUAGGUGGCGGAGCAAGUCAACGGUGAAAGCUCGACGCUCAACGUCGAGUCGGCCGUCGAGACUGCUUUGCUUGAGCACUGUAGAGGCAGAUGGAAUUCCGGGUGUAGCGGUGGAAUGCGUAGAGAUCCGGAAGAACACCGGUGGCGAAGGCGGUCUGCUGGGCAGUUGCUGACACUGAGGCGCGACAGCGUGGGGAGCAAACAGGAUUAGAAACCCCUGUAGUCC